GGAGCUGUGGCUUAAUUUGACUCAACGCGGGAAAUCUUACCGGGUCCGGACACACUGAGGAUUGACAGGCAAUAUCUCAUGGUUAUUAACCGGUUAUUUAUUUAAUCGGUUAUUAAGCAUCGAGUGUUAAAUAUGCUAGUCCUUUCAUGAUUAUGUGAUAGGUGGUGCAUGGCCGUUCUUAGUUCGUGGAGUGAUCUGUCUGCUUAAUUGCGUUUCACUAAGGGCCCAUAAAUUCAAGGUAUGUUAGCUAUCGUCGCUCUAUGGACCCCUUAUACUC
rnacentral:rRNA from 1 species